rnacentral:rRNA from 1 species
GCAAGUCGAACGAAGUGAUUGGAGCUUGCUCCAAGAGCUUAGUGGCGCACGGGUGAGUAAUGCACAGGAAUCUGCCCCUUAGUAGAGAAUAGCUCGGAGAAAUCUAAAUUAAUACUCUAUAAUGCCUACGGGUGAAAGGCUUCGGCCGCUAAGGGAUGAGCCUGUGUCCGAUUAGCUAGUUGGUAAGGUAAAGGCUUACCAAGGCGACGAUCGGUAACUGGUUUGAGAAGAUGAUC